rnacentral:rRNA from 1 species
GAUGAACGCUGGCGGCGUGCCUAAUACAUGCAAGUCGAGCGAACGGACGAGAAGCUUGCUUCUCUGAUGUUAGCGGCGGACGGGUGAGUAACACGUGGAUAACCUACCUAUAAGACUGGGAUAACUUCGGGAAACCGGAGCUAAUACCGGAUAAUACUUUGAACCGCAGGGUUCAAAAGUGAAAGACGGUCUUGCUGUCACUUAUAGAUGGAUCCGCGCUGCAUUAGCUAGUUGGUAAGGUAACGGCUUACCAACGCAACGAUGCCUAGCCGACCUGAGAGGGUGAUCGGCCACACUGGAACUAGGACCCGCCCCGGACCCCUGCGGCAGGCUACGGUCGGGAAUCUUGAGCAAUGGGCGCAGGUCUGAAAGAGCCCUGCCGCGUACAUGAGGAGGGUCCUCGGCUCGUAACACUCUCUUAUCAGGAACGAACAUAUCUGUCCGUGCAUGUGCCCAUCCUGACGGUCCCUAGUCAGAAGGCCCCGGCUGACUUCGUG